rnacentral:rRNA from 1 species
GAUGAACGCUAGCGGCAGGCUUAACACAUGCAAGUCGAGCGGAGUGAUGGUGCUUGCACUAUUACUUAGCGGCGGACGGGUGAGUAAUGCUUAGGAAUCUGCCAUUUAGUGGGGGACAACAUUCCGAAAGGAAUGCUAAUACCGCAUACGUCCUACGGGAGAAAGCAGGGGAUCUUCGGACCUUGCGCUAAAUGAUGAGCCUAAGUCGGAUUAGCUAGUUGGUGGGGUAAAGGCCUACCAAGGCGACGAUCUGUAGCGGGUCUGAGAGGAUGAUCCGCCACACUGGGACUGAGACACGGCCCAGACUCCUACGGGAGGCAGCAGGGGGGAAUAUUGGACAAUGGGCGGAAGCCUGAUCCAGCCAUGCCGCGUGUGUGAAGAAGGCCUUUUGGUUGUAAAGCACUUUAAGCGAGGAGGAGGCUCUCCUAGUUAAUACCUAGGAAGAGUGGACGUUACUCGCAGAAUAAGCACCGGCUAACUCUGUGCCAGCAGCCGCCGCAGUAA